rnacentral:tRNA from 1 species
UCCCCGGUCGUCUAACGGCAGGAGCCUUUUAGAGCCAGGAAUCGUGGUUCGAAUCCUCGCCGGGGAGCCA